rnacentral:rRNA from 1 species
UAGGGAAUAUUAGAAAUGGACGAAAGUCUGAUCUAGCAACACCGCGUGUGCGAAGAAGGCCUUCGGGUCGUAAAGCACUUUUUGGAAGGAAUAGGAAGGAAUGUACUUCCAGAAUAAGUCUCGGCUAACUACGUGCCAGCAGCCGCGGUAACACGUAGGAGGCGAACGUUAUCCGGAUUUACUGGGCGUAAAGCGCGUGUAGGUGGUACUGUAAGUAGGGCGUGAAAGCUCCUGGCGCAACUGGGAGAGGCCGUUCUAAACUACAGAACUAGAGGGUGGUAGAGGGAGGUGGAAUUCCAGGUGUAGCGGUGGAAUGCGCAGAUAUCUGGAGGAACACCGGUGGCGAAGGCGGCCUCCUGGACCAUUCCUGACACUCAGACGCGAAAGCUAGGGUAGCAAACG